rnacentral:rRNA from 1 species
AUUGAACGCUGGCGGCAGGCUUAACACAUGCAAGUCGAACGAGUGGCGGACGGGUGAGUAAUGCUUGGGGAUCUGCCCGAUCGAGGGGGGUAACUACUGGAAACGGUGGCUAAUACCGCAUACUAUCGGAUGAACCCAUAUGGGAUUAGCUAGUAGGGUGGGUAAAGGCUCACCUAGGCGACGAUCGCUAGCUGGUCUGAGAGGAUGAUCAGCCACACUGGGACUGAGACACGGCCCAGACUCCUACGUGAGGCAGCAGUGGGGAAGAUUGCACAAUGGGCGCAAGCCUGAUGCAGCCAUGCCGCGUGUAUGAAGAAGUCCUUAGGGUUGUAAAGUACUUUCAGCGGGGAGGCGUUACCCGCAGAAGAAGCACCGGCUAACUCCGUGCCAGCAGCCGCGGUAAUAC